CCUACGGGCGGCAGCAGUAGGGAAUCUUCCACAAUGGGCGAAAGCCUGAUGGAGCAACGCCGCGUGGGUGAAGAAGGUCUUCGGAUCGUAAAACCCUGUUGUUAGAGAAGAAAGUGCGUGAGAGUAACUGUUCACGUUUCGACGGUAUCUAACCAGACAGCCACGGCUAACUACGGGCCAGCAGCCGUGUUAAUACUUAGGUGGCAAGCGUUAUCCGGAGUUAAUGGGCGUAAAGGGAACGCAGGCGGUCUGUUAAGUCUGAUGUUAAAGCCUUCGGCUUAACCGGAGUAGUGGAUUGGAAACUGGGAGAGUUGAGGGAAGAAGAGGAGAGUGGAACUCCAUGGGUAGCGGUGAAAUGCGGAGAUAUAUGGAAGAACACCAGUGGCGAAAGCGGCUCUGUGGUAUGUAACUGACGCUGAGGUUCGAAAGCGGGGGUAGCAAACAGGAUUAGAUACCCCGGGUAGUC
rnacentral:rRNA from 1 species